rnacentral:rRNA from 1 species
GACGAACGCUGGCGGCGUGCUUAACACAUGCCAGUCGAACGCUGAAGCUCAGCUUUUGUUGGGUGGAUGAGUGGCGAACGGGUGAGUAACACGUGAGUAACCUGCCCCCUUCUUUGGGAUAACGCCCGGAAACGGGUGCUAAUACUGGAUAUUCACUGGUCUUCGCAUGGGGGUUGGUGGAAAGGGUUUUUCUGGUGGGGGAUGGGCUCGCGGCCUAUCAGCUUGUUGGUGGGGUGAUGGCCUACCAAGGCUUUGACGGGUAGCCGGCCUGAGAGGGUGACCGGUCACAUUGGGACUGAGAUACGGCCCAGACUCCUACGGGAGGCAGCAGUGGGGAAUAUUGCACAAUGGGCGCAAGCCUGAUGCAGCGACGCCGCGUGAGGGAUGGAGGCCUUCGGGUUGUGAACCUCUUUCGCUCAUGGUCAAGCCGCAACAAUGGUUGUGGUGAGGGUAGUGGGUAAAGAAGCGCCGGCAAACUACGUG